rnacentral:rRNA from 1 species
GAAUCUGCCUGGUAGUGGGGGAUAACGUUCGGAAACGGACGCUAAUACCGCAUACGUCCUACGGGAGAAAGCAGGGGACCUUCGGGCCUUGCGCUACCAGAUGAGCCUAGGUCGGAUUAGCUAGUUGGUGAGGUAAUGGCUCACCAAGGCUACGAUCCGUAACUGGUCUGAGAGGAUGAUCAGUCACACUGGAAGUGAGACACGGUCCAGACUCCUACGGGAGGCAGCAGUGGGGAAUAUUGGACAAUGGGCGAA